UUUGCGCGCAGCCGCUCACUGGAGGAAAGCACAUCACUAGUUGUCAUACCGAGGGGUAAAUACUCAUUCUUACCAAUGAAUAAUCACCAAUUUACCUCGACUCCCAGCUGACAAACUGUCCUGCGCGACUAAACGCGGAGAGAGGAGCGUCGCGCGCGAUAUUGUGUGAGGAGGGUCCUGCAGGAGGUCUUGCUCUUCUGUUUUAGUGAUGGCACAGCCGAGCACAUGCGGUCCGAGCAGCAAUGGUGUUACUGAUGAGGCUCCUAACAUGCUGGUCUACAGGAAAAUGGAAGACAUCAUCGCUCGCAUGCAAGAUGAGAAGAGCGGGAUUCCCAUCCGUACAGUCAAGAGUUUUCUGUCCAAGAUUCCCAGUGUGUUUUCAGGAUCUGAUAUUGUACAGUGGAUGCAGAAAAAUUUGAACAUUGAAGAGCAAGUGGAGGCUCUUCAUCUAGGGACUCUGAUGGCAGCACACGGUUAUUUCUUCCCCAUAUCAGAUCACGUUCUUACACUGAAGGAUGAUGGAACCUUCUACCGUUUUCAGACUCCAUACUUCUGGCCAUCAAACUGCUGGGAACCAGAGAACACAGAUUAUGCUGUGUAUCUGUGUAAACGAACAAUGCAAAAUAAGGCUCGUCUGGAAUUGGCUGAUUAUGAAGCGGAGAGUUUGGCACGAUUACAGAGAGCUUUUGCACGUAAAUGGGAGUUUAUAUUUAUGCAAGCAGAAGCACAAGCAAAAGUGGACAAGAAACGAGACAAAAUUGAGCGUAAGAUUUUGGACAGUCAAGAAAGAGCGUUUUGGGACGUUCACAGACCUGUGCCUGGUUGUGUAAAUACAACAGAAGCAGACAUAAAGAAAUCUUCCCGAAUGAAACAACCUCACAAAACACGGAAGUCAGUAUAUGGUUUACAGAAUGACAUUCGCAGUCACAGCCCAACUCACACUGCAGCACCUGAAAUUAAAGAACCCACAGAAGAAGAACUGCGCAACCAGAUUCAGUAUUGGCAGGUGCAGUUAGACAGACAUCGGUUAAAAAUGUCCAAAGUUGCAGAGAGUUUGUUGAGCUUCUCAGAACAGUAUAUUGAAUAUGACCCGGUCUUCACAACACCAGAACCUUCAAACCCCUGGAUCUCUGAUGACACCACAUUGUGGGAACUGGAGGCCAGUAAAGAGCCCGGACAGCAGAGGGUAAAGCGCUGGGCUUUUGGGUUUGAUGAAGUAUUGAACGAUCCGCUCGGGAGAGAACAGUUCCUGAAGUUUCUUGAAUCUGAGUUCAGUUCAGAGAAUCUGAGGUUUUGGUUGGCCGUUCAGGAACUAAAGAAGCGGGCGAAUCGUGAGGUGCCCACGAGGGUGCAGGAGAUUUGGGAGGAGUUUCUUGCGACCGGAGCUCCGAGCGCGAUCAACGUCGACUCCAAGAGUUAUGAAAAAACCACCCAGAAUGUUAAAGAUCCGGGUCGCUACGCUUUUGAAGACGCUCAGGAGCACAUCUAUAAACUCAUGAAGAGUGAUUCAUACAGUCGAUUCAUCAGAUCUAACGUCUAUCAGGAACUUCUGCAGGCUAAGAAAAAGUUGUGUAACAGGAAUCACUGAAGCUGAUUUACUGUGAAAAGCAAGAAUCUUUUCUAGAGUCUGAAUGUCAGGCUUUAACUACACAUCAUUUUCAUACAAUGCUGUUAGGAUUCAUCAUUAAUGGAGGUGAUUUAUUUCAUCAUAUUUACAUUACUUUACACUUUUACUUGAGGAUAUUCAUUAAUCUGCUGUCUGUCAUUGCAUAUCACAGAAAACCUUUUGUGCAUCAUUGCAUUGUGUGAUGCUGAUGUUACCUGGAGGUUUUUUUACAGACUCAAGAUCUUUGCACACUAUGUCAGAAAUUCUCGUCAAAGGUUUUCACACCUCACGUUGUGUCAAUUACGUUUACACGCUGCCUCUGAAAUGUUUGUCUGUCAUUAAAAAUUGGUUGAAUUUUUUGGCAUCCAUAGCAAGUGUUUUCAGAGGUGUUUUGACAUUCAGAGCCACCGUACAAAAUCAAGAAUCCCGUCUGACUGUUCUGAUUCACUUUGUUUCUGCACUUUGUGCUGCGAAAUGAAGAGACAAAAUAUAAAGACAGACUGAAAGUGACGUUAUUGUCAGAUAUGGUAGCCCCCUCUUAAAAUGUGACCUCUGCAUUUAACACAUACCAGUGAGUAGUAAACGCAACACACGCACGCGCGCACACACACACAAACCGGUGACCUUCGGGUACCAAAGAUUACAGAGUUUAAUGCUAAACAGUAAUAAACCAGUAAGUUAGUUAAGCAAUAGUUCGUUACCAGUGUCAUUCAUUCUUUCAUAGUGAGUAGGGCUAAUGUUAUCCACAUCCAUGGAUUAAUUAUUACGCAUCAGACUUAGUGUGCAAGGUUUUUGUGUGUAAUAAAUUUGUAGGAUGAUGAAUAGAAAAACACAGAAAUAUUUCAGACUUCAAGUGUGCAAAGAUCAAUUUUUAUCAAUUGGUUUUCCAUGCUGAGUUUUACUUGAAAAUAACCGCAAAUAUUUCAAUAGUUUCCUAAAUCUCUCUUUUUUUAAUUGUAUAAACUAAAUGUAAACAUGUGAUAGUUGAUUUGCUCUUUUGCACUACAGAUAUACAGUAAUAGAGUUAAACGAGUGCUUGAUGCAGAAGUUGUUUCUCACCUCUUAGAUUUAUUUUUUUACUAUAUUUAAGAAUGUUUUUUUUUUUUGUAAAUUUGUGCAUAAAUUCCUGGAAAAUCUGCACGUUGGACAUGAAAAUAUGAUUUGAUAUACAAUAAGAAAUUAAUCUAUCACAAUGUUUCUCUCCCUCAUCUAUAUGAAAACACAAUGUUAGGAUUUAUAUACGGUCACUGCUGACAGUAGUAUGAUGAAUAACUUUAUAUAUGGAUUAGUACUGUAUGCAAAUGAUAAUGAAUGGUAAUGUAUAGGUGCUAAUGUAUACAGUGUCUGGUAAUGUAAGGACUGAUGUACAGAUGGUGAAAUAUGGAUAGUCAUGUAUUUUGGUAAGAUUUAUAUGAUAAUGAUGAUAUGAUCAGUAAUUGUUGAGAUUGUGUGGAUGUUAAUGGAGAGUUUGUAAAGAAAUAAAUGAGAAAUAUUUGGCAGUAUGGAUGAUAAUACUGUAUAUAUAAAACCUUUAGUGAUGAUGGUGUUUAAAUAUCAGUGAGAAUGUUAUUGAUGUAUGAAUGAUAGUGAUGAGGAUGAUGAUGAUGAUGAUGAUGAUGUGUGAAUGGUUAUGUUUGAUGAUAGUGUAAUGUCAUUGAAUGUUAGUUGGCUGUAAUGGUAACUUCACAAACCAAGAGAUUUGUUCUGUAAUGACAUCAAAAGAUG